UAUUGUAUUGUAAAGGUUUGA
rnacentral:piRNA from 1 species